GGAGGUUGGCUUAGAAGCAGCCAUUCCUUUAAAAAGUGCGUAACAGCUUACUGGUCGAGUGUUCUUGCGCCGAAAAUUUAACGGGGCUAGAGUAUGCAACCGAAAUCACGGACCUCUAGAUUUUUCUAGGGGUGGUAGGAGAGCAUUCCAUAUGCUGUUGAAGGCAAGCGCGUGAGCCUUGCUGGAAGUAUUGGAAGUGAGAAUGUAGGCAUGAGUAACGUAAAGACAGGUGAGAACCCUGUCCGCCGAAAACCCAAGGUUUCCAGAGCAAGGAUAAUCCUCUCUGGGUUAGUCGGCCCCUAAGGCGUAGCCGAAAGGCGUAGUCGAUGGGAAAGAGAUUAAUAUUUCUCUACUUGUCUGGUUGUGCGAUGGACUGACGCAGAAGGUGAUGCCAUGCCGGGUGACGAUUGUCCCGGUCCAAGGUUCGAGACGUGCUUUUUUUAAUAGAUUAAGUUUAGUUGAGUGCCAAGUGCCAAGCAAGCGAAAGUAAGCUGAAGAUGGUUAAGUCAUGCUGACGAGAAAUAGGUUCUAAGUUUAGACCAGGCAAACCGUACCGCAAACCGACUCAGGUGGGUGAGAUGAGUAUUCUAAGGCGAUCGAGAUAACUAUAGCUAAGGAACUCGGCAAAUUAACUCCGUAACUUCGGGAUAAGGAGUGCCACAAUGGGGCUAGAGGGGCUUACUCCUCCUGCUUUGAGGUGGCUGCAGUGAAGAGAUCCAGGCGACUGUUUACCAAAAACACAGGACUCUGCAAACUCGUAAGAGAAAGUAUAGGGUCUGACACCUGCCCAGUGCCGGAAGGUUAAGAGGAGGUGUUAGCUUUUAUUAGCGAAGCACUGAAUUGAAGCCCCGGUGAACGGCGGCCGUAACUAUAACGGUCCUAAGGUAGCGAAAUUCCUUGUCGGGUAAGUUCCGACCUGCACGAAUGGCAUAAUGAUGGCGGCGCUGUCUCCAGCAGAGACUCAGUGAAAUCGAAAUCGCAGUGAAGAUGCUGUGUACCCGCGGCUAGACGGAAAGACCCCGUGAACCUUUACUACAGCUUUACAUUGAACUUUGACCUUACCUGUGUAGGAUAGGUGGGAGGCUUUGAAGCAGGCACGCCAGUGUCUGUGGAGCCAUCCUUGAAAUACCACCCUGGUAAUGUUGGGGUUCUAACUCAAGCUUAACAGAGCUGAGGACAAUGUAUGGUGGGUAGUUUGACUGGGGCGGUCUCCUCCUAAAGAGUAACGGAGGAGUACGAAGGUGCGCUCAGAACGGUCGGAAAUCGUUCGAAGAGUAUAAAGGCAAAAGCGCGCUUAACUGCGAGACCCACAAGUCGAGCAGAUACGAAAGUAGGUCUUAGUGAUCCGGUGGUUCUGUAUGGAAGGGCCAUCGCUCAACGGAUAAAAGGUACUCUGGGGAUAACAGGCUGAUACCGCCCAAGAGUUCAUAUCGACGGCGGUGUUUGGCACCUCGAUGUCGGCUCAUCUCAUCCUGGGGCUGAAGCAGGUCCCAAGGGUAUGGCUGUUCGCCAUUUAAAGAGGUACGCGAGCUGGGUUUAGAACGUCGUGAGACAGUUCGGUCCCUAUCUACCGUGGGCGUUGGAAAUUUGAGAGGAUCUGCUCCUAGUACGAGAGGACCAGAGUGGACGAACCUCUGGUGUUUCGGUUGUGACGCCAGUCGCAUUGCCGAGUAGCUAUGUUCGGAUGGGAUAACCGCUGAAAGCAUCUAAGCGGGAAGCCCACCUUAAGAUUAGAUUUCCCUAAAGAGCCGUUGUAGACUACGACGUUGAUAGGUUGGGUGUGGAAGCAUAGUGAUAUGUGUAGCUAACCAAUACUAAUUGCUCGUUUGGCU
rnacentral:rRNA from 1 species